rnacentral:hammerhead_ribozyme from 1 species
ACACUGGUGAGGAGUCCCACAAUAGGACGAAACGGCCGUCAAGUAC